AUGCUGGGGUCUGUCACCCUCCUUCUCGCCACCCUGCUCCCUGCUGGCCAGACAGCGCUCACCAUGGACCAGCCAAUGAUUUCUGUCACAGGACAGGCCAGGUCAGUAGCAUCAUUUCUCUGUGAGUUUUCCAACCGAAGGACCUCCUACAUCCACUGGUAUCGCCAGCAGCCUGGGAAGGCUCCCCAGCGCCUGCUCUACUAUAACAUGGAUACGUCUCAACACAAGCUGGAUGCGGGAUUCAGCUCAGACAAAUUCUAUGUGGACAAGAGUAAAGAUCAAAAAUGUUCCCUGAGGGUACGGAAAUUGGAAAUGAAUGAUGCUGGCACCUAUUACUGUGCUAGCUGGGACUCCACACUCUCCCAGAUGGCCAAUAAGCACGUAGUGACCACGUGA